UUUGUUUCUGUUUUUAUUCCUUGUCUUUUCUAGCAUGAGCAAACAGCACAGGGUGAUUCAUCCAUACAUUGUGCGCAGAAAGAGCCUGCGACAACAGAAAUGUGCAAGUACAGAAACUUUCUUCCUGGGUUCGAAGAAAUAGACGACAUUAUUGACUUGACAUCUCCUGCCGCACACACACCAAAGACAUGGGACAAUGCAAAAACGUGUUAUUACCCAAUGAGAACACGGAACUAUGAGAAUGAUGUAAGCUCAUCACAAAAGAACAAGAAGAGUUACUUGACAACACCAUUUAUUGGCAAGAGGCUUUUUACAGACGAGGUCAUCGAAGAAGAUGACCAAGAUGGGACCAAAGAUCAACCAAUCCCUGUCAUCGAUGAGUUGCAAUUAUCUCCGGACGUUCAAAUUCUGGGGGAGAGAGUAUUCAAUGGUUCAUGCUCUAACAUGGUAAACACAGCAGACAAUCUGUAAAACAGCAACCUUACAUUAGGCAGUUACUCAAGUGGCAAGGAAAAUCUGCCUCCCAAAAGGCUUGUACGCCCAAGCAAGUAUCAAUGCUCACCUUUCGAUAACGAUCUGAGAGGCCCUCUCACGCCACUUGAGAAGCAGCUACACAGCAACAUUGUGGCACUAAGCAAAAUUGAACCUGAUAGAAGGGCAGUGUUGGUCGAUAAAACCAGUCUAUCCCUUGGACAACUCAGCAAUUCAUUCGACACCAACGGACAUGUGGAAGCUUAUGUUUUCAAUGUUUUCUGCCGGUUGCUCUUUCGUGAUAACCAUCCAAGGCAAUCAAAGAAGCACUACUUCUUCACUACUAUCGAUGAUUAUUUUCUUCAAGCAUGGACUACUGAAGAAGGAAGGAUAUUAAUGAGAAGGAGAGCACUUAUAAGUUUUAGUGGAGCAGGAACAACAUUGCCUCUACAUGAAAGUGAACGUCUGUUUUUUUCCAUCAGUACAUCACGAGCACUGGAUAUUGUUUAUUGUUGAUAUUGUUGCAAGAAAAUUCAUUUUCCUAGAUUCAGUUUAUUAUGGCGAGUCACCCUUUCACAUGGAGGUAAAAGAUUUGAUGAUAAACAAUUUUAUCAAAACAUGGGAAGAGUCGAGACUCGGGAGAAUGGGGUUCAGAAACUUUGGUAUAGAAUACCCAAACAUGCCUAAGCAAAUUGGAAGAGAUGCUUGCGGGAUUUUUGUGCUCAAGUGGAUGCAAACUUUUGCUUCGCGGAAUCCUCUCCAGCCCCAAUUCAGGAUGAAGGACGUGGCAGAUGCAAGGGUCAGACUUGCUGUUGAUAUCCUCUUCAGCAAUCAUAACACUGAUGAUGAUGCCAAAAGACUUGUCAAGUACUUUCGUCAAUAAACUGGGAGUUGAGGACAGCAUUGAUCUACAAGGGGGGAGGGGCAAAAAGAAUGAAGAACUAAAUAAAUACUCUAGAUUUUUUAGAUGUCUUUCUCUUUUUUUGUACAUGUUUUUUGUGUUCGCUCGAUGAGUAUCUUGGGAAAAUCAACGGAUAUACCAAAGUAAUGCAAAGAAUUUUUUGUUCGGAUGAAAAACAUUUUUACAG
rnacentral:rRNA from 1 species